rfam:Ictidomys tridecemlineatus contig090148, whole genome shotgun sequence.
GGGGCUGUAGCUCCGUGGCAGAGCGCUUGCCUAGCAUGCAUGAGGCACUGAGUUCAAUCCUCAGCACCA